UGGGGAAUAUUGGACAAUGGGCGAAAGCCUGAUCCAGCAACGCCGCGUGAGGGAUGACGGCCUUCGGGUUGUAAACCUCUUUCAGCAGGGACGAAGCGAAAGUGACGGUACCUGCAGAAGAAGCACCGGCCAACUACGUGCCAGCAGCCGCGGUAAUACGUAGGGUGCAAGCGUUGUCCGGAAUUAUUGGGCGUAAAGAGCUCGUAGGCGGUCUGUCGCGUCGAAUGUGAAAACCCGGGACUCAACUCCGGGCCUGCAUUCGAUACGGGCAGACUAGAGUUCGGUAGGGGAGACUGGAAUUCCUGGUGUAGCGGUGAAAUGCGCAGAUAUCGGGAGGAACACCGGUGGCGAAGGCGGGUCUCUGGGCCGAUACUGACGCUGAGGAGCGAAAGCGUGGGGAGCGAAC
rnacentral:rRNA from 1 species